CUGCAGAAACUGAGAGUCUGAUGGUGAAAGACCAAGAGAACUGGCAGCCUGAGCUCUUCUUCACUCAUUGCUCAGUCUUCAUUAAUCUGCUAAGCCAUGAAUUUGGGUAUUUCUAGUAGCAUUCCAUUUCCAAAUGUGUGCAAGCAAUUCUCUGGCCUGACCAAGUAAUGAGUGCACAAGUUGCAUAAGCAGUUGGCUCGCCCUUCCAUGUUCUGUGCCUGGUGUACUCAACUGUUAUCUCUUUUUCUAGCAGAAAUACCAAAUUAGGGAUUAGAAGAAUGGACAAGGAGACCUCAGGAGGAAGUUGCCAGUGGUUUUCUCACAGAGGGUCUAGAGUGUGAAGACAUCUCGGGAAUCAGAAUGGCAAUACCAGAUGCUUCACCAAUAAUGACAAGUUUGUAGGCACGAGAUAAGCAAAUGCCUGCAACAUUGCCUAACUACAACCCCCCACCCAAGUGAGGCCAGAUGUCUGAACCAAGAUAACAGUCACCAUGCCUGACGAGCAAAAGUGCAUGUAGACCCUAAACUUUCUGUGAACCACAUGACCAGAAUUCCCUGGUUUAGAGUAUAAAUGUAAGCCACCAAUGUAACUCUGGGGGAGUCCUUGAAGGCAUGUUCCUGUGGGGCUGGCCUGCUAGCAAAUAAAUUUUGUUGCU